GAUGAACGCUGGCGGCGCGCCUAACACAUGCAAGUCGAACGAUUAAAGCACCUUCGGGUGUGUAUAAAGUGGCGAACGGCUGAGUAACACGUGGGCAACCUGCCCCUCUCAUUGGGAUAGCCACGGGAAACCGUGGAUAAUACCGAAUACUUCGGGACUUCCGCAUGGAAGACUCGAGGAAGCUCCGGCGGAGAGGGAUGGGCCCGCGGCCUGUCAGCUUGUUGGUGGGGUAAUGGCCUACCAAGGCAAUGAUGGGUAGCUGGGUUGAGAGACCGACCAGGCAGAUUGGGACUGAGACACGCACCAGACUCCUACGGGAGGCAGCAGUGGGGAAUCUUGCACAAUGGGCGAGAGCCUGAUGCAGCGACGCCGCGUGCGGGAUGAAGGCCUUCGGGUUGUAAACCGCUUUCAGCAGGGACGAGGCGAAAGUGACGGUACCUGCAGAAGAAGCCCCGGCUAACUACGUG
rnacentral:rRNA from 1 species